rnacentral:rRNA from 1 species
GAUGAACGCUGGCGGCGUGCCUAAUACAUGCCAGUCGAGCGAACAGACGAGGAGCUUGCUCCUCUGACGUUAGCGGCGGACGGGUGAGUAACACGUGGAUAACCUACCUAUAAGACUGGGAUAACUUCGGGAAACCGGAGCUAAUACCGGAUAAUAUAUUGAACCGCAUGGUUCAAUAGUGAAAGACGGUUUUGCUGUCACUUAUAGAUGGAUCCGCGCCGCAUUAGCUAGUUGGUAAGGUAACGGCUUACCAAGGCAACGAUGCGUAGCCGAGCUGAGAGGGUGAUCGGCCACACUGGAACUGAGACACGGUCCAGACUCCUACGGGAGGCAGCAGUAGGGAAUCUUCCGCAAUGGGCGAAAGCUUGACGGAGCAACGCCGCGUGAGUGAUGAAGGUCUUCGGAUCGUAAAACUCUGUUAUUAGGGAAGAACAAAUGUGUAAGUAACUAUGCACGUCUUGACGGUACCUAAUCAGAAAGCCACGGCUAACUACGUG